GAAAUGGUUCGGUUUCGGGUAUGGGUUUGAAACGGAUAUCUCAAUAACAAUAAACGAAUCCAAAAUCAAAAAAUUUAUCCGACGACUACCUAUAACUGUAAAAUAUCCAAAAUUUCAAACCCAAAACCGAAUCAUUCGGAUAGAUUACUUGCAAGGAUUGAAUUUGACAGGUUAAAUUGUCAUCCUUAGAUUUGACACUUCUCGAUCGUUCUAAUUCGUUUUGGACUGCUUCAUUAUUUAGCACUGCUAACAUUUAUGCAUGCGGAAGUUUUCUUGUGCCCUACAGCCUACUUCCUUUGAGCGAGAAAGUUGACAUGUGCAACACGAGAGGCUGCUGAAGGAUGUCAUGGACUCGUGGCCCAAGCUGAAGUUGGGAUUUAGAGCUAAUGACUAAUUAAUUGAACAAUUAAGGCAUGUGUUUUUUAUGCUUAAGCAGUGAUUGCUAAUACCAUGGGCGGAUAAUAGGAAAAAGGGUUCUCUCUGGAUUCCUUCCAUCAAAUUCACCAAAUGACUUAAUUUAGGCUCUUAAAAUUUGAUCUAACGACUAAAGUUAUUAUAAUUUUUAAAGAGCCCCCAUGUUUGUAGCUAUUGAAUCAAAUUUUAAGGGUCCGGAUUGAUUGAUUGGAUGAAUUUGGUGGAAGGGAUCUUUGAUGAACGGUUACUAUGCAUUGAUCCCUGGAAUCCCCAAUGAGGGGAUCUGGAGAUGAUCUAAAUCCCAAUAAUUAGUACCUUAUCAGUACGUACCAAAUAAUUAAAACAAACAAAAGACUAAUUAUACGUAUACUUGUCGAAAGAGCGAUGUUAUUCAUAUACAUUUUUUAACCUUUACACACUAUUCGUAAUUUUCAAUCGUCAAAUAAAAUGAAUUAAAAAACCAAAAAAAUACAAAUUAAGAAGAUGUAUGUGAGAGUGUGUAAACAACACAACUCUUAUCACAAAUGUUUGGGAUGCCUUUGUGUUUAGUCUCACUUAAACCGUCCAAUUCAUUUAGGAUGAGAGUUGUCAUUUUCAGACAAUCAAUCAAAUAUCUUCCCGAUUAAACAACACUCCUUAAAUCAUCCAUGUGUUAGAGAUAGAGACUUUGGUGCAACGUUGCAUUUUCCGCUCUCGUGCUUAUCUCAUUUUUCACGUAGUGAUAUAAUCACACAUAAAUAUACAAUCGCGUUACACUUACAAGUUUUUCUCCUUGUAUUACUGGUAUUAGGGUUAGUGGUAGGGUUUAGUGGUGCAGAGGGGACUGUAGGUAGUGCCCGUCGAGAAGUCGUCAAAAGCACUGACUGGGAAAAUGGGGCUGAAACCGAACAAAACCACACUCUCUAUAUGUGAUUGACAGCGACAGAGAGAGGUGAGGAGACGGUGUCGCAGAAGAGCCCCUGUAGUUUUGACACAGACAGACAAUGACUUCCUCUCUUUAUAGCUUGGCUUAGCUAGCAGCUGCAGCCGCUUUCGUGCUAGCUUAGUUUGUGUAUGAACAGCCGUAAACGGUAAACCAGAACGGCAAAGAUGAAGCUAAGACUGAAAGCUGGGGGUGAGUGAGUUGAGGGAUAUGGGCAGUAAGUACAUUACUUGAGGGUAGACUACACACUUGACACUGGAAACUAGGCUUUAGUUCCGAGAGACAAGGUACACACGAUAUCCAAGGAGCGACUGGGCAGAAGAGAAAACAGAGACAGAACAUAAAUAUGGAACGGAUCCCCUCCGGAUCCAAUAAAACUAAGCUUGCUGAGAAAGAAAUCCGAACUAUUGAAAUUUGAUCCAACAGCAAGAGACAGAACCAGGAAUUUCUUCUAGUAGGGGCAAUCGAAAAUAAUUGAGAAAACCUUAUUUUAGUAUGGUUAUAAGCAAUAUGAUGUUAAUAAUGAUUUCAAAUGACGAUGUAUCACAAUUCCAAAGUUACAAAAAUUUCAAUAUAGUAUUGGAAAGUGGCAAAGUGAUGAGAAAAAUAUAAGUAUAUGAUAGGCAUGAGAGGGUUUUUUCGGUUUGAAUGAUAGAACAAGAGCACUAUUGCUCAUAUAAUAUUUUUUUGGUCUCUCUGAAGGAAGCUGAGAAAUUGCUCAUAUAAUAUUUGAUAUGGAGUAUUAGUAGAAUAAAUGUAUGUUAGAUAUUAGAUACAUAUAUUUUCUUUAAAGAUAACCCGUGUAUAUUAUAUAAUUGUAGUCUUCAACUAAACAAACGAAUUACUUAAGUGGGGGCAUUUGCCCCCAGUGAGUCUUCAUUGGCUCCGUCCAUGCCAACGGCUACAAACAUGAGAUCCUCUUCAAGUUGUAAUAAUUGUAAUCGUUUGAUCAAAUUUCAACGGCCUCAAUCUCUUGCUCAGCAAGCUUAGUAUAUUUGGGUCCAAACUAAAAAUUUAUUCAAAAAGUGAGAAUUAGUCGUGAGAUUCACUCUAAAUCGAACUUUAUCGAUUUAAACUGUUUAUUUUGUAAGUUUCGAUUCAUAGAUUACUCUUGUAAAAUUCAAUUUAAUUCGAAAUCAUUUGCUUAUUUAAUUAUCAUGAUGAAAUUUUAAUGUUUUUCUUAGAACAAAGUGUUCGUCAAUUUCAAUAAACUCAAUUAGAUGCCUUAAAUAUUUCCAAUUUGGCUAAUAUUUUGUAAGGAUUAUUGAUAGGGAUUUUUUUUUACCUGCGUAAAAAGGUUAAAAACACUUAAAAUACUUGCAAGAGAAACAAAGUUAUUGUAGUAUAAUUGGUUCAAGUAAGGUCGUUCUCCACAAAGAUUAAUUUAAAUAGAUUAACGCCAAAUCAAUUCUCAGCUAAUUAUUUAGAACGAAAUUUUGGAAAAAGGUGAUUUAAUGACCUAAAUUAAGAAAAACGAAUUUAAUUAAAAAGAUUACUUAAAAACUGCAAUUUUAAAGAAUGAGAAAGAAACAAUUUUUAGAAUUUAAAAUGAGAAGGUACUAGGGUUCCGUCCUCACCCCAACAAUCCUAUGUAACUCUUUUAAUUACUUAUGAAUCAUACAUGCAUAUUUUAAAGGUUAGGUUUUCCCAGAGUAUAUCCUACUUGGAACCUCAAACAUAGAACGUAUAUCUAACAUGCAACCCAUCUGUGGUGUCUAAAUCGAAUGUAAACAUGCAAGACUCAUUAAGUUUUGUGAAAACCCUUUGAAAAACCAUAUAACCCUUAAAACGUGUCGUCCAUCCUAACAGGUUACACAUAUUAACCACAAGAAGCCUUAGUCAAUUUUAGGGACAGCCCUCCCUCAAAAUUGCAUCAAAUUACUUUUCUAAAUAUCAUAAUGGUUGUGAAUCACUAAAACAAAUAGAUAGUUUAAAUCGGUGAUUAACAAUUCAAAACUUGCAUGCAUGAAUUCAUAAGCAAAUUAAGAAGAAACUACAUAUUCUUACUAAGGAUCAUGGCCUCACCCUAGCAAAAGAAAAUUAGUUAUGCAUAUUCAUAAUAAAAAUCAUACAGUCUUUAUUGAAAUAGAAAAAUAGUGAAAACACCUUGAACGUGAAAGUCUUGAAAUCUCUAAGUUUUGCCCAAAAUCUUCUCUUCAAAAAUUGCAUGCAUUCUCUUUAAAAAAAAAAACCCUAGAUCUGCUAAAAGGCUUAUUUAUACUACUCUAAAUAAGAUCCUCCUAAUAAAAGGUCUUAGAACAAGACUAGGAAACUAAAUAAAUUGAAAUAAAUUAGGAAACAUAACUCUAAAUUAACAUGGUAAAUUCGCCUAGAAAUCUGCACAUCCAUGUUUUGGGCCCAAAUCAGCUUCAAAACUGGCCCAAAAUUGCUAGAUUUAAAGCUUUGACAAUUCUAAACACUUAUCCAGAAGGCCACGAACCCAUUCGAAGUCAUCUUGACCUCCAAAAAUGCAGUUUAAGCCCAUAAACUUCUCUUUCUAGCAACGCGCACAACUCCUUCAUUUAAUCUCCAGAAAAUAAAUGCUUGGUAUAAAUUGUUGAGAUUUUGACAUGAAUAAGCUAAGGAACACACGAACGUCUUCUAAUUUGAAUCACUUUAAAAUUCGUCUGUUUGAUCACGUUUUGCUCCAGAGGAAGUCAAAUGUCCUAUGUUGAAAAUAUAAAGCAAAGUAUCAAAAUUCUACCAAAAUAAUUACUAAAUUAUACUAAGAAUAGGGUGAAAUAUCUAAUAUAAUAUUGACUCAUCAAUUAUCUAAGAGGUACAACUUGAAAAAUAGACGGUUCGGACCAUUAAAUUUGAUGUAGUGCAGGCCCCAUAACUAAUCCUCAUUUUUAUAAAGAGUGUGCUAUCUCCGCAUCCAUUUCUACUUCUCACACUAUAUAAUAUUAUAUAAGGGAUAUUCUGGAUGCGGUUCCUAAUCCUUAACAUUAUUUGAUUAAAACCUUAAUAGUAUUCAAAGUUUGAUCAAUGUCCUUUGACUUUGUACACCUCAUUAUAUUACUAUUAAAUUUAUAUUUUUAUAGUUUUGACAUUAAUUGUUUGAUAUUUUAUGAGAUUUAUAAUCCUAUAAAUUUAAAAUUCCUCAUUAUAAUACUAUUAGAAACGGUUACAAUAAAAAAAUACAAACAUUUUGAU
rnacentral:lncRNA from 1 species